AAUCUUGGGGCUUAACCCUGAGCGUGCUUUCGAUACGGGUUGACUUGAGGAAGGUAGGGGAGAAUGGAAUUCCUGGUGGAGCGGUGGAAUGCGCAGAUAUCAGGAGGAACACCAGUGGCGAAGGCGGUUCUCUGGGCCUUUCCUGACGCUGAGGAGCGAAAGCGUGGGGAGCGAACAGGCUUAGAUACCCUGGUAGUCCACGCUGUAAACGGUGGGUACUAGGUGUGGGGUC
rnacentral:rRNA from 12 species